CCUACGGGAGGCAGCAGUGAGGAAUAUUGGUCAAUGGACGAGAGUCUGAACCAGCCAAGUAGCGUGAAGGAUGACUGCCCUAUGGGUUGUAAACUUCUUUUAUAUGGGAAUAAAAUGUUCCACGUGUGGGAUUUUGUAUGUACCAUAUGAAUAAGGAUCGGCUAACUCCGUGCCAGCAGCCGCGGUAAUACGGAGGAUCCGAGCGUUAUCCGGAUUUAUUGGGUUUAAAGGGAGCGUAGGUGGAUUGUUAAGUCAGUUGUGAAAGUUUGCGGCUCAACCGUAAAAGUGCAGUUGAAACUGGCAGUCUUGAGUAUAGUAGAGGUGGGCGGAAUUCGUGGUGUAGCGGUGAAAUGCUUAGAUAUCACGAAGAACUCCGAUUGCGAAGGCAGUUCACUGGACUGCAACUGACACUGAGGCUCGAAAGUGUGGGUAUCAAACAGGAUUAGAUACCCCAGUAGUC
rnacentral:rRNA from 1 species